ensembl:lncRNA
AUUAAGAGAGAGAGAGAGAGAUAGGGGCAGAGUGACAGAGAGAGAAAGAGUUUCCCAUUCUGUGCUCCAUAUAUACCCAACACUUGAUCAAAUUACAAAGUUGUCUAAAUGAGAUAGCACUUAGUGUGACAUUCUGCCAUUUGUUAAAGGACAGGCCAGGACAUUAACAUUUGAUUAGUGCCUGGUUAUACAUUCUUCUGCAAAUUACCACGGGACAGGAAGGGGGGAGGACGUGAUAAUCUUGUUACUUUUCAUUACUCUCCCAUUUCCAUUUGUUCUUAUGUUAUCCUAUUCUAUUUACUGUACUCUUUUCUUGUUUUUAUCUCUACUCUUCUGUCAUUUUAUCCACUCCUCUCUACCUUCUGUCCAGGAGGUUUGUGAUGAAGUAAUUAAAUUGUGGCAACUUUCUGGAAUAUAUUUAAUGUCCUCUCUUUGUCUGUUAAUCUUUCUGUUAGGAUGCAACUCAACUAUAGGGAGAAAAAGGUCGGCAUCAGAGAGAACAGAAGCCCAGAGAAUUACAAGCUCCCUUCUGAUGGACCACGGCCCCCUGGUACAAUCUACCGUUUCCGGGCUCCAGCUACCUUGAAACACGGACUGAUCUGGAUCGUCGCACCCUGGGCUCUGCUGGAUCAUUGCUCUCUGCUUCACUAUCUCCUCAUAUCUAUAUUUCUGUUAACCUUGAUCCCUCUCUCUGUCUAUUACUAAUUAUGUUGUGUGUCCUGCCCUCUUCCAGGUCAUCAUGGUGGACAGGAGGUCGUCUGGCUCGGGCACCGCUUGGUGAUGCCUCGUCCUGCUCGGUCGUCUCCUGAAUCAACUCACUUUACAUAACUUGUAUCAGACUUUCUGUUAAUGUAAUUUGUAAACUGUGAAUUGUUGCUCUUUUCUGAACACGCAACAUCUAUUGCAUGUCUGUCCGUCCUGGAAGAGUGAUCCCUCCUCUGUGGCUCUUCCUGAGGUUUCUUCCAUAGUUUAGUUUUUUUUUACCGUUAAAAGGUCUUUAUUCCAUCAACGUGAAGUUUUUCCUCACUCAAAUCGAGGGUCUAAGGACAGAGGAUGUUGUUCACUGUACAGAUCAUAAAGCCCACUGAGGCAAUGUGACAGUGAUUUUGGGCUAUAUAAAUAAGAUUGUUCAGAUGCAUGCCAAUAAGGGGGGAGGUAGGGGGAGAGAGAGAUUCACAUUCUGGCGAUAUUAAAAUUAUUUACAUUAAAAUAGUAAGCGUGACACAGAGAUUUCUUGAGUGAGAAGUGAGAAGUACACAAACUAGUGUGUAACUUUUGUCUUAUGAUUGCCUGCAUGACAACCAGUGAGAAGAGUGGCAAGCUGCAAAUUGAAAAAAACGGGAGGAAGUUCAACACGAACGUCGUAGAGUUUUUUACUGUUUGCACUACUGCUAAUGCUUCAAAUGAAAUGUCUCAUGGAUCGAAACGGAUUUGACAGCAACGCAGAAAUCCGAAUGUUAGCACACUAACAUUCGGAUUUCUGCGUUGCUGUCAAAUCCGUUUCGAUCCAUGUUUGUUUCCUUAGCUUUAUGAAUGUUUGAUGAAGUGAAUUUCAGGGACCGGUAUUUGACGCGAGUGCUGUACUUCCUGGUUUGCCGCGUUGCAUCUUGGGAGAUGUAGUGUCCUAUUACAGAUAAAGACUAAAUGCAUUUUUGCACAGACCUUUCGGUAGAAUGUGAAAAUGGUGCAUAAUGUUUGACAUAUGAAACGUGUAUGUGAAAAGAAUUAUACAUUUUAGUAUUAUAUAUUUCUACUUUUGACUUGCAUAUGAUGUUCAUUAUACUAUUACUAGUUGAUUAACAUUUGAUGAUAUUUGUCAUGGGAUAUGGGUUGAUAUGUUAUUUAUUAUAUUGCUUAUUGUUACUGGGCUAUUGUGGUGAGUGAGCUGUGAUGAUUGUGUUAUGCACAUGGAAAAUGAAAUGUAACAUUCCUUAUCUUUCAGGUUUAUUACCGCUUCCCCCUUUCAAGAAAUAAAAACAUACAAAAGUGGAAUACUGAGUGAUGUCCUUUCCUUUUUGGGUUGCCCUCCGUGGGGAGAAACGACAGUUGUGCUUCAUAACUCUCAGGGGGGAAUACAUCA